AGAGUUUGAUCAUGGCUCAGAACGAACGCUGGCGGCAUGCCUAACACAUGCAAGUCGAACGCCUGUAGCAAUACAGGAGUGGCGCACGGGUGAAUAACGCGUGGGAACCUGCCCAAUGGUUCGGGAUAACUGCGGGAAACUGCAGCUAAUACCGGAUAAGCCCUGAGGGGGAAAGAAUUUCGCCGAUGGAGGGGCCCGCGUUGGAUUAGCUAGUUGGUGAGGUAACGGCUCACCAAGGCUACGAUCCAUAGCUGGUCUGAGAGGACGAUCAGCCACACUGGGACUGAGACACGGCCCAGACUCCUACGGGAGGCAGCAGUGGGGAAUAUUGGACAAUGGGGGCAACCCUGAUCCAGCAAUGCCGCGUGAGUGAUGAAGGCCUUCGGGUUGUAAAGCUCUUUUGGCGGGGACGAUGAUGACGGUACCCGCAGAAUAGCCCACGAUCCCCC
rnacentral:rRNA from 1 species